rnacentral:rRNA from 1 species
GGGACGAGCGCUGGCGGCGUGCUUAACACAUGCAAGUCGAGCGGUGAUCCUCCUUCGGGAGGUGAUCAGCGGCGAACGGGUGAGUAACACGUGGGCAACCUGCCCCUCACACUGGGAUAACCUCGGGAAACCGGGGCUAAUACCGGAUACGACCUCGAGCGGCAUCUCUUGAGGUGGAAAGCUCCGACGGUGAGGGAUGGGCCCGCGGCCUAUCAGCUUGUUGGUGGGGUAAUGGCCUACCAAGGCGACGACGGGUA